rnacentral:rRNA from 1 species
GUAGGUGGCAAGCGUUGUCCGGAAUUAUUGGGCGUAAAGCGCGCGCAGGCGGUUCUUUAAGUCUGAUGUGAAAGCCCACGGCUCAACCGUGGAGGGUCAUUGGAAACUGGAGAACUUGAGUACAGAAGAGGAAAGCGGAAUUCCACGUGUAGCGGUGAAAUGCGUAGAGAUGUGGAGGAACACCAGUGGCGAAGGCGGCUUUCUGGUCUGUAACUGACGCUGAGGCGCGAAAGCGUGGGGAGCAAACAGGAUUAGAUACCCUGGUAGUCCACGCCGUAAACGAUGAGUGCUAAGUGUUAGGGGGGUUCCCCGCCCCCCUUAGUGCUGCAGCUAACGCAUUAAGCACUCCGCCUGGGAGUACGGCCGCAAGGCUG